UACAGAGGUCUCAAGCGUUGUUCGGAUUCAUUGGGCGUAAAGGGUGCGUAGGCGGCGUGGUAAGUCGGAUGUGAAAUCUCGGAGCUUAACUCCGAAACUGCAUUCGAUACUGCCGUGCUUGAGGACUGGAGAGGAGACUGGAAUUUACGGUGUAGCGGUGAAAUGCGUAGAUAUCGUAAGGAAGACCAGUGGCGAAGGCGGGUCUCUGGACAGUUCCUGACACUGAAAAACGAAAGCCAGGGGAGCAAACGGG
rnacentral:rRNA from 1 species